AAAAAGCGGGGGAAGAACCCGCUCGCCGAAAGCCCAAGGUUUCCUGUCCAAGGAUCAUCCGGGCAGGGUCAGUCGGUCCCUAAGGCGUAGCCGAAAGGCGAAGUCGAUGGGAAUCAGGUCAACAUUCCUGAACCUCCAGUAUUGAGCGGAGCGGGGACGGAGAAGGGUAACCAAGCCGGGUGUUGGAUUCCGGUUCAAGCGAGUAGGCGGAUCCCGUAGGAAUAAAACGCGGGGUCAUAACGCCGAGACGUGAUGUCGAGACCUUCGGGUCGAAGUUGGUGAUCCCACGCUUCCAAGAAAAGCCGCGGGCCGCGAUGAUGUGCUGGAGACCGUACCGGAAACCGACUCAGGUGGGCAGGUCGAGAAGACCAAGGCGCUCGAGAGAAUCCUCCUUAAGGAACUAGGCAAAUUGACACCGUAACUUCGGGAAAAGGUGUGCCAUGUUUGGUGAAGGGCCUCGCGCCUGGAGCUGAGUGUGGUCGCAGCAAAGCGGCGGUAGCGACUGUUUACUAAAAACACAGGACUUUGCGAAACCGUAAGGUGACGUAUAAGGUCUGACGCCUGCCCGGUGCCGGAAGGUUAAGGGGAGUUGUCAGGGUAACACCGAAGCAACGAACCGAAGCCCCGGUAAACGGCGGCCGUAACAAUAACGGUCCUAAGGUAGCGAAAUUCCUUGUCGGGUAAGUUCCGACCUGCACGAAGGCGUAACGACUUCCGCGCUGUCUCGAGGAGGAACUCGGCGAAAUCGACAUGGGGGUGAAGAUGCCCUCUACCCGCGGCAAGACGGAAAGACCCUGUGAACCUUUACUCUAACUUGUCAGUGACAUUCGAUUCAAUCUGUGUAGGAUAGCUGGGAGCCUGUGAAUCUGGUACCUAGUAUCAGUGGAGGCGCCGUUGAAAUACCAGCCUGAUUGUGUUGGCUGUCUAACCGCUUCGGCGGGACCCUGACUGGCGGGGAGUUUGACUGGGGCGGUCGCCUCCCAAAAAGUAACGGAGGCGCACAAAGGUUCCCUCAGCCUGAACGGAAACCAGGCGAAGAGUGCAAUGGCAUAAGGGAGCUUGACUGCAAGACUGACAGGUCGAGCAGGUGCGAAAGCAGGUCAUAGUGAUCCGGCGGUUCCACAUGGAAGGGCCGUCGCUCAUCGGAUAAAAGGUACUCCGGGGAUAACAGGCUUAUCACGCCCAAGAGUUCAUAUCGACGGCGUGGUUUGGCACCUCGAUGUCGGCUCAUCGCAUCCUGGGGCUGGAGCAGGUCCCAAGGGUUUGGCUGUUCGCCAAUUAAAGCGGUACGCGAGCUGGGUUUAGAACGUCGUGAGACAGUUCGGUCCCUAUCUGCCGUGGGCGCAGGAGAGUUGAGAGGAUCUGUCCCUAGUACGAGAGGACCGGGAUGGACGUACCUCUGGUGUUCCGGUUGUUCCGCCAGGAGCAUUGCCGGGUAGCCACGUACGGACGGGAUAACCGCUGAAAGCAUCUAAGCAGGAAACCCACCUCGAGAUGAGCUCUCCCUGAAGGACCCAGGAAGACUACCUGGUUGAUAGGCGAGGCGUGUAAAUACAGUAAUGUAUCAGCGUACUCGUACUAAUUGUCCGUUUGGCCUA
rnacentral:rRNA from 1 species